rnacentral:tRNA from 1 species
GGCCGGGUCGUCUAAUGGCAGGAUACGCUCUCUGCAAGGACGAGAAGGCGGUUCGAUUCCGCCCCCGGCCU